AGCGGAACGAUGGGAGCUUGCUCCCAGGCGUCGAGCGGCGGACGGGUGAGUAACACGUGGGAAUCUGCCCAUUAGUGGGGGAUAACUCGGGGAAACUCGAGCUAAUACCGCAUAAUCCCUACGGGGGAAAGCAGGGGAUCUUCGGACCUUGCGCUGAUGGAUGAGCCCGCGUCGGAUUAGCUUGUUGGUGGGGUAAUGGCCCACCAAGGCGACGAUCCGUAACUGGUCUGAGAGGAUGGCCAGUCACACCGGGACUGAGACACGGCCCGGACUCCUACGGGAGGCAGCAGUGGGGAAUCUUGGACAAUGGGCGCAAGCCUGAUCCAGCCAUGCCGCGUGUGUGAAGAAGGCCUUCGGGUUGUAAAGCACUUUCAGUAGGGAGGAAGGCUUCGGGUUAAUACCCUGGAGUACUUGACGUUACCUACAGAAGAAGCACCGGCUAAUUUCGUGCCAGCAGCCGCGGUAAUACGAAAGGUGCGAGCGUUAAUCGGAAUUACUGGGCGUAAAGCGCGCGUAGGCGGUGUGUUAAGUCGGAUGUGAAAGCCCAGGGCUCAACCUUGGAAUUGCAUCCGAUACUGGCACGCUAGAGUGCAGUAUAGGGAGGUGGAAUUUCCGGUGUAGCGGUGAAAUGCGUAGAGAUCGGAAGGAACAGCACUGGCGAAGGCGGCCUCCUGGACUGACACUGACGCUGACGUGCGAAAGCGUGGGGGAGCA
rnacentral:rRNA from 1 species